rnacentral:rRNA from 1 species
GAUGAACGCUGGCGGCGUGCCUAAUACAUGCAAGUCGAGCGAACGGACGAGAAGCUUGCUUCUCUGAUGUUAGCGGCGGACGGGUGAGUAGCACGUGGAUAACCUACCUAUAAGACUGGGAUAACUUCGGGAAACCGUAGCUAAUACCGGAUAAUAUUUUGAACCGCAUGGUUCAAAAGUGAAAGACGGUCUUGCUGUCACUUAUAGAUGGAUCCGCGCUGCAUUAGCUAGUUGGUAGGUAACGGCUUACCAAGGCAACGAUGCAUAGCCGACCUGAGAGGGUGAUCGGCCACACUGGAACUGAGACACGGUCCAGACUCCUACGGGAGGCAGCAGUAGGGAAUCUUCCGCAAUGGGCGAAAGCCUGACGGAGCAACGCCGCGUGAGUGAUGAAGGUCUUCGGAUCGUAAAACUCUGUUAUUAGGGAAGAACAUAUGUGUAAGUAACUGUGCACAUCUUGACGGUACCUAAUCAGAAAGCCACGGCUAACUACGUG